rnacentral:rRNA from 1 species
UACGUAGGGGGCAAGCGUUGUCCGGAUUUAUUGGGCGUAAAGAGCGUGUAGGCGGCCAUGUAGGUCCGUUGUGAAAACUCGAGGCUCAACCUCGAGACGCCGAUGGAAACCAUGUGGCUAGAGUCCGGAAGAGGAGAGUGGAAUUCCUGGUGUAGCGGUGAAAUGCGCAGAUAUCGGGAAGAACACCCGUGGCGAAGGCGGCUCUCUGGAACGCAACUGACGCUGAGACGCGAAAGCGUGGGGAGCAAACAGG